rnacentral:tRNA from 1 species
GGCCUAUUAGUGUAGUGGUUAACAUACCUCUUUCGGGUUCUACCCCCUUCGGGAAUAGAGGUGAUCCCUGGUUCGAAUCCUGGAUAGGCCC